rnacentral:rRNA from 1 species
UAAGGAAUAUUGGUCAAUGGACGCAAGUCUGAACCAGCCAUGCCGCGUGAAGGAUGAAGGUCCUCUGGAUUGUAAACUUCUUUUAUCUGGGACGAAAACGGGAUUUUUAUCUCAAUUGACGGUACCAGAGGAAUAAGCACCGGCUAACUCCGUGCCAGCAGCCGCGGUAAUACGGAGGGUGCGAGCGUCAUCCGGAUUUACUGGGUUUAAAGGGUGCGUAGGUGGGCUUAUAAGUCAGUGGUGAAAUCUCCGAGCUUAACUUGGAAACUGCCGUUGAUACUAUAGGUCUUGAAUUAUCUGGAGGUAAGCGGAAUAUGUCAUGUAGCGGUGAAAUGCUUAGAUAUGACAUAGAACACCAAUUGCGAAGGCAGCUUACUACAUAUAAAUUGACGCUGAGGCACGAAAACGUGGGGAUCAAACG